AGUGAACGCUGGCGGUAGGCCUAACACAUGCAAGUCGAACGGCAGCACAGAGGAGCUUGCUCCUUGGGUGGCGAGUGGCGGACGGGUGAGGAAUACAUCGGAAUCUACUCUGUCGUGGGGGAUAACGUAGGGAAACUUACGCUAAUACCGCAUACGACCUACGGGUGAAAGCAGGGGAUCUACGGACCUUGCGCGAUUGAAUGAGCCGAUGUCGGAUUAGCUAGUUGGCGUGGUAAAGGCCCACCAAGGCGACGAUCCGUAGCUGGUCUCAGAGGAGGAUCAGUCACACUGGAACUAAGGCACGGUCCAGGCUCCUACGGGAGGCAGCAGUGGGGAAUAUUGGACAAUGGGCGCAAGCCUGAUCCAGCCAUACCGCGUGGGUGAAGAAGGCCUUCGGGUUGUAAAGCCCUUCUGUUGGGAAAGAAAUCCAUCUGGUUAAUACCCGGGUGGGAUGACGGUACCCAAAGAAUAAGCACCGGCUAACUUCGUGCCAGCCGCCGCCGUAA
rnacentral:rRNA from 1 species